rfam:Dipodomys ordii contig_90759, whole genome shotgun sequence.
GGUGGCUCAGUGGUAGAGUGCUUGCCUUGUGAGCAUGAGGCCCUGGGUUCGAUUCCUCAGCACCA